rnacentral:rRNA from 1 species
AGCACCGGCUAACUACGUGCCAGCAGCCGCGGUAAUACGUAGGGUGCAAGCGUUGUCCGGAAUUAUUGGGCGUAAAGAGCUCGUAGGCGGUUUGUCGCGUCUGCUGUGAAAACUGGAGGCUCAACCUCCAGCCUGCAGUGGGUACGGGCAAACUAGAGUGCGGUAGGGGAGAUUGGAAUUCCUGGUGUAGCGGUGGAAUGCGCAGAUAUCAGGAGGAACACCGAUGGCGAAGGCAGAUCUCUGGGCCGUAACUGACGCUGAGGAGCGAAAGCAUGGGGAGCGAACAGGAUUAGAUACCCUGGUAGUCCAUGCCGUAAACGUUGGGAACUAGAUGUGGGGUCCAUUCCACGGAUUCCGUGUCGCAGCUAACGCAUUAAGUUCCCCGCCUGGGGAGUACGGCCGCAAGGCUAAAACUCAAAGGAAUUGACGGGGGCCCGCACAAGCGGCGGAGCAUGCGGAUUAAUUCGAUGCAACGCGAAGAACCUUACCAAGGCUUGACAUAUACGAGAACGCUGCAGAAAUGUAGAACUCUUUGGACACUCGUAUACAGGUGGUGCAUGGUUGUCGUCAGCUCGUGUCGUGAGAUGUUGGGUUAAGUCCCGCAACGAGCGCAACCCUCGUUCUAUGUUGCCAGCACGUAAUGGUGGGAACUCAUAGGAGACUGCCGGGGUCAACUCGGAGGAAGGUGGGGAUGACGUCAAAUCAUCAUGCCCCUUAUGUCUUGGGCUUCACGCAUGCUACAAUGGCCGG